CAUUUACUCCCUCCGUUCGGAAUUACUUGUCGUAGAAAUGGAUGUAUCUAGAUGUAUGUUAGUUCUAGAUACAUCCAUAUCCGAGACAAGUAAUUCGGAACAAAGGGAGUACAUC
rnacentral:pre_miRNA from 1 species